rnacentral:rRNA from 1 species
UGGGGAAUAUUGCACAAUGGGGGAAACCCUGAUGCAGCGACGCCGCGUGAGCGAAGAAGGCCUUCGGGUCGUAAAGCUCUUUUAUGAGGGAAGAUAAUGACGGUACCUCAAGAAAAAGCCCCGGCUAACUACGUGCCAGCAGCCGCGGUAAUACGUAGGGGGCUAGCGUUGUCCGGAAUCACUGGGCGUAAAGGGUUCGCAGGCGGAAUAACAAGUCAGAUGUGAAAGGCAUGGGCUCAACCCAUGUAAGCAUUUGAAACUGUAAUUCUUGAGAGGUGGAGAGGUAAGUGGAAUUCCUAGUGUAGCAGUGAAAUACGUAGAUAUUAGGAGGAAUACCUAUGGCGAAGGCGACUUACUGGACACAAAUCUGACGCUGAGGAACGAAAGCGUGGGUAGCAAACAGG